rnacentral:rRNA from 2 species
UACAGAGGGUGCAAGCGUUGCUCGGAAUUAUUGGGCGUAAAGGGUAGGUAGGUGGUCUCAUUUGUCUGGGGUGAAAUCCUUGGGCUUAACCCAAGAAGUGCCCCAGAAACGGUGAGACUGGAGUCCUGGAGAGGGUCGUGGAAUUCCCGGUGUAGCGGUGAAAUGCGUAGAGAUCGGGAGGAACACCAGAGGCGAAGGCGGCGACCUGGACAGGUACUGACACUCAACUACGAAAGCGUGGGGAGCAAACAGG